rnacentral:rRNA from 1 species
GACGAACGCUGGCGGCGUGCCUAAUACAUGCAAGUAGAACGCUGAAGGAGGAGCUUGCUUCUCUGGAUGAGUUGCGAACGGGUGAGUAACGCGUAGGUAACCUGCCUGGUAGCGGGGGAUAACUAUUGGAAACGAUAGCUAAUACCGCAUAAGAGUAGAUGUCGCAUGACAUUUGCUUAAAAGGUGCAAUUGCAUCACUACCAGAUGGACCUGCGUUGUAUUAGCUAGUUGGUGAGGUAACGGCUCACCAAGGCAACGAUACAUAGCCGACCUGAGAGGGUGAUCGGCCACACUGGGACUGAGACACGGCCCAGACUCCUACGGGAGGCAGCAGUAGGGAAUCUUCGGCAAUGGACGGAAGUCUGACCGAGCAACGCCGCGUGAGUGAAGAAGGUUUUCGGAUCGUAAAGCUCUGUUGUAAGAGAAGAACGAGUGUGAGAGUGGAAAGUGCACACUGUGACGGUAUCUUACCAGAAAGGGACGGCUAACUACGU